GAAGAUGUGUCCGAUGAUGAGGAAUCUAUAUUAGAUGCUGAUUUGAUGAUUAAGGAUUCCGUCAUUGCCGAUGCGGUUGCGGAUGGAUCCACUCAGUUUACUGUUGAGGCCAUGGCUGAUGAGCCACAGUUGCUAGAUGAUAUGUCGAUGGAGGCUACAUCCUCGUUAAGCAUCACCGUUACGAAGGUCGACGACCUUACAUGUCCUCCCAUGCAUCCCUCGUCACUACCAACACCACCACCUAUGAUAACA
rnacentral:lncRNA from 1 species